rnacentral:rRNA from 1 species
GAUUUUUUAAGGGCUGCGCGUAAUUUGACCGUGCAAAGGUAGCAUAAUCAAUAGUCUUUUAAUUGGAGGCUUGGAUGAAAGGUUUGACGGAGAAAGACCUGUCUUUUUGGUUUGUAUUGAAUUUAACAUCUGUGUAAAAAGGCAUUGAUGAUUUAGGGGGACGAUAAGACCCUAUAAAACUUGACAUGUAACCUCUUGCUUUACAGAAUUGGUAUAUUAAACUUGUUGGGCAGGGGGUGGUGUUUUGCUGGGGCGGCAUGAAUAUAAUAGUUUAACUGUUCGUGAGGUGAAAUAUAAAUAUGUAGAUGAUGGUCCCUUACUAAGGAGGUAAGAGUAAGUUACUUUAGGGAUAACAGCAUAAUUUUCCCUGAGAGUUCUUAUCGAAGGGAGUAGUUGUGACCUCCAUGUUGAAUUAAAU